GGCGAGCUGUCAUCUCGGCACCGUUCACCAACCAGUCAUUUCUCUCAAGAGUGGACACAUGUCAGCCGCCAUGAAUCUCGUGGAGAGCUGUCACCUCAGCACCGUUCAGCACCCAGUUAUUCCUCUGAACAGUGGACACAUGGCAGUCGCCGUGAGCCUCGUGGAGAGCUGUCACCUCGACACCGUUCAGCAACCAACUAUUCCUCUCAAGAGUGGACACAUGGCUGUCGCCGCGAGCCUUGUGGAGAGCUGUCAACUCGG